rnacentral:lncRNA from 1 species
UGGUAACCUAUAGACUAGAACACCGUGAAUUCAAAGCGCGCCGCCAUAUUGGUGAGCGCCGGUCGCGCCAUCUAUCCCAAGUGCCGCGAAGUAGCAGGCCUGGGCUGCCACACCGGGAGAUGCGACCCAGCGCAAAAGCGAAACUUCGGCUUUUCAGCUGGGCGGAAGGCGUGUAUCGCGUUUUUUCUAACCUGUCAUUUGCGCUGUCUCGAUUCAAUCAAACUUCAAGACAUCAUGCAAGUCCGCAAUGGCCUCGCUGAGUGCUGUGCAGACUGCAGAAGCGAAUACAUCGGGUAAGUACGCUAUUACAUUUGUACAAACCGCGCGCUAUAUACUAGAACACGUGUGAGCUGUAAUAUCUCCGUAUUUUUGGCACGUAACCUGUGAAGGAAUAUACAGCACUAUGUUGGUACCAUAUAUUAUUAAAGCAUGCAGAACAUUGUCCUCUGCACUUUCAGUUUGGUCUUGUUUGUGAUGCUCACUGCUAGGUUGGCCACGUUCGGCAACACAAUGGCGAGGUCGUUUGACUGGGCUUACAGCCUGCCUGAUUAGCAGACGCCUGCCCUUCACCACCUGCACAUUGAAAACAAACCAUAUGUUAUAGUAAGAAGGGCUGUAGUUCUUUUCUAUGCCAUAACUGUUGGGAAGAUAUAAAUUCCUCUCAAAAUGAAAAAGAAAAUGCAAAAGGCCAAUUGUAUCGUGCAACCACUUAAAAGCACAGCAUUCAGAACACAAGCCUACAGCACUUAUAACAGGCAUCGUAUGGCGCUAAACCUGCACUCAUUGGAAAAUGUGGAACUACAGUGGUUAUAAUGUUCAACUACAUGUGCAGUCAAAGCCCGUAUAACAAGGUGAGCACGACAGAUGCAGGUGUUGUAGAG